UACGGAGGGUGCGAGCGUUGUCCGGAAUCACUGGGCGUAAAGGGCGCGUAGGCGGCCUGAUAAGUAGGGGGUGAAAUCCUGCGGCUUAACCGCAGGGCUGCCUUCUAAACUGUCAGGCUAGAGCACAGUAGAGGCAGGUGGAAUUCCCGGUGUAGCGGUGGAAUGCGUAGAGAUCGGGAAGAACAUCAGUGGCGAAGGCGGCCUGCUGGGCUGUUGCUGACGCUGAGGCACGAAGGCCAGGGGAGCAAACGGG
rnacentral:rRNA from 1 species